ACCGCUGCUGCUGUACGGCACGGCCUCGGACGCCGCCGCACCGGCCGCGUUCACCGACACCCACUGGGCGGAUGCUAUCCAAGCUAUCAAGGACGAAAAGAAGGAGAGGAAAUCUGCUAUGAAGAAAGCCGCAAAGGAAGACAAGAAGGAAACCAAAAAGAAGAAAAAUUCCUCGCUUACUCGAUCGGGCUCAAGUAAGAAAAAGUCUGCAGCACCCGAGCCUACCCCUACCAUACAAUGCUACUUUGCCGUCGAACUGUACCGAAAACCCGUCAUUAAAACGACGGCCGCCAAUAUUACGCACCUUCCAAUAGACAACAUAGCGUGAAAAAAUACGCUACUUGUAUUGAAGCCCGUAUCUUCCAAACACAUGGGAUUUCCUGAUAUCGUUUUCAUUCUUGUAUAACUACCAACACAAAUAUACCGUGAAUUCUG